rnacentral:rRNA from 1 species
UGGGGAAUUUUGGACAAUGGGGGAAACCCUGAUCCAGCCAUGCCGCGUGAGUGAAGAAGGCCUUCGGGUUGUAAAGCUCUUUCAGCCGGAACGAAACGGUCACGGCUAAUAUCCGUGACUACUGACGGUACCGGAAGAAGAAGCCCAGGCUAACUACGUGCCAGCAGCCGCGGUAAUACGUAGGGUGCAAGCGUUAAUCGGAAUUACUGGGCGUAAAGCGUGCGCAGGCGGUUUUGUAAGUCAGAUGCGAAAGCCCCGGGCUUAACCUGGGAACUGCGUUUGAAACUACAAGGCUAGAGUGUGGCAGAGGGGGGUGGAAUUCCACGUGUAGCAGUGAAAUGCGUAGAGAUGUGGAGGAACACCGAUGGCGAAGGCAGCCCCCUGGGUUAACACUGACGCUCAGGCACGAAAGCGUGGGGAGCAAA